rnacentral:rRNA from 1 species
UAGGGAAUCUUCCGCAAUGGGCGAAAGCUUGACGGAGCAACGCCGCGUGAGUGAUGAAGGUCUUCGGAUCGUAAAACUCUGUUAUUAGGGAAGAACAAAUGUGUAAGUAACUAUGCACGUCUUGACGGUACCUAAUCAGAAAGCCACGGCUAACUACGUGCCAGCAGCCGCGGUAAUACGUAGGUGGCAAGCGUUAUCCGGAAUUAUUGGGCGUAAAGCGCGCGUAGGCGGUUUUUUAAGUCUGAUGUGAAAGCCCACGGCUCAACCGUGGAGGGUCAUUGGAAACUGGAAAACUUGAGUGCAGAAGAGGAAGGUGGAAUUCCAUGUGUAGCGGUGAAAUGCGCAGAGAUGUGGAGGAACACCAGUGGCGAAGGCGACUUUCUGGUCUGUAACUGACGCUGAUGUGCGAAAGCGUGGGGAUCAAACAGG